rnacentral:lncRNA from 1 species
UCCAUUGUGGAAUCCUGUUGCUAUAUACUUUUAGGAUGUCAAAAUGUGUCAAAGCGGCAUUAAUAGCAUUCCUAGGUGAAAACCCCGAGAUCAUGAGUUUUUGUCCAUCACCAAAUACAUAGUUGGACUUUGAUCUCAUACCAGAAGACCCAAUGGAUUUGCUAUUGAUUCCAGUAAAGGACACUGGUUGGUGUUAACUUGCCCCUUGCAAAGAAUUAAAGCAAUGUUCUCAUCACAAUCUUAAUAUAUUCACUGUUUUUUCA